AUUGAGCAUGCACAUUUCAAUUAUGUGUCUACUAGCCAUCGUCUGGUCAGGAUCGCUCAACUAAUCCUAGUGUAUUCCAAUCAUGUAUGAACGAAAUACAAACUUGAUAUUAAUUGAAAACAUGAUUGAUUGAUGCACAAAUAUCAUAAGCAUGAAUCAAAUGAAUAUUAUUUAGUCAAAGCAAUUGUCCUAGCUUAAGUAAAAUUAAGCUAGCAUUGUUGUAAUCAAGAACAAAGAACACAUAACAAACAUUAUAAAAUCAAAUUAAAGAAAAGAAAGAAUAAACUCUAUUAGAAUGGUUGUCACCCAAAACUCUGAUAGAAGAAGACUCCUUUGUUCCUUUGCUUUUCUCCUUUGUUGAUGGCUCUUCGAGAUGGUCGACCAUGGGCUCUUUAAGAGGCUUAAUUAGCUAAAAUCUCUAUGAAGAGAGGAUGCUAGGCGUGGGAAUGGGAAAAUGAGAGAAAAGAUGAGAGAGUUGAGAGAAUGAGAGAUGAUCAAUGAUUGAUGAGCAAAAGGAUGAGGGAGAAUUGAAAUGGUGAGAAAUGACUCUUAUUUAUAGGUGAAGGAUGAGAGCGCAUUUACUAAAAAUAGGGAAUUGAAUAGGGAAUUGAAUCCCAAAAUUCUCUCAAGUGCAUGACUAGUCACACUUCAUGGAGUUUGAAUGGCUUUGUUGCUUCAUUUUGAAGCAUUCCACAUGCCACAUCAACUAGGGAUUAAGACUUGGUCAACAACAAAUCUCUUGACCAAAUUUUGAUUUCUCCUAUAGUGCAAGGACUUCUUGAAAUUAAACCAAAAAUAGUUUAUUGGGUAGCCAUGGUGUUGCCAAAAUUGGGCUAAAAUCUUCUUGGAUUGGACGGUUUUUAUGAUCCAUCAAAAUUAACAGACUUGUCUAAAACAAUUUAUUUAAUAAUGGGUCAAAGUAAUUAAAUUAACCCAAUUAUUUAACAAUUUAAUAAACCCAAUUUAUUAAUGAAAUAAUUCAUAUUAAAUUUUUAUAUAUAAUUUUAUGUUUUAAUAUUUAAUUAAUUUAUGCAUAACCCACUUUAUACAUUAAAAAUACAUUAUAUUAAAAUAAUAUAAGUCAUUUUGCGCAUAAAAACUAUAUAAUAAAGCAUAAAAUCACAUUUUAAUAAUUUCCAUGUUCUAAAUUAAUAUUUUCACAUAUUUCAUUAAUUUAUUAAACAUUUACUUGGGUUUAACAUUAUUUUAAGUAAAAAGCUAAUAAAUUAUAAGAAAAAAACCUAUAUACUUUUGAGUUUAUAUUAGGACCUAAGAUCAGGCCGAAAGGCGUAGUCAAUGGACAAUAAGUGAAUAUUCUUGUUCAACCCCUUGUUGGUCCCGAGGUACAGAGGAGGCUAGGUUACACGAAUGAUGGUUAUCGAUUCAAGGAUGCAAGGUGCCCCAGCAUUUUCAGGGUAAGAAGGGGUGCAAAAAUGCCCCGAGCCAAUGUUCGAGUACCAAGCGCACUAUACUCCCAAGAAAAGCUUGAACGACCUUCAACAAAAGGGCAACUGUACCUGAAAUUGACAUAGGUGGGUAGGUAGAGAAUACCUAAGGGCACGAGACAACUCUCUCUAAGGAACUCGAAAAAAUAUCCUCGUAACUUCGAGAGAAGGGUGCCUCUUCACAAAGGGGGUCGUAGUGACUAAGCCCGAGCGAUUGUUUACCAAAAACACAGGUCUCAGCAAAGUUGUAAGACCUUGUAUAGGGGCUGACGCCUGCCUAGUGCCUGAAGGUCAAGGAAGUCGGUGACCUGAUGAUAGGGGAGCCAAAGACUAAAGCCCUGGUGAAUGGCGACUGUAACUAUAACGGUCCUAUGGUAGAGAAAUUCCUUGUCAAGUAAGUUUCAACCUGCACGAAAGGCACUAUCUCAAAGAGAGGCUUGGUGAAAUAGACAUAUCUGUGAAGAUGCGGACUACUUGCACCUAGACAAAAAGACCUUAUAAAGCUUCACUAUUCCCUAAGAUUGGCUUUGGGCUUUUCUUGCGCAGCUUAGGAGGAAGGCGAAGAAGACCUCCUUUCGAGGGGCCCGAGCCUUCAGUGACAUACCACACUCUAGAAGAGCUAGAAUUUUAACCUUAUGUCAAGACCUACGGGCCAAGGGACAGUUUAAGUAGACAGUUUCUAUAGGGUGUAGGCCUCCCAAAAGGUAAAGGAGGCGUGCAAAGGUUUCCUUAGACCAGACGGAGAUUGGCCCUCGAGUGCAAAGGCAGAAGAGAGCUUGAUUACAAGACCGACCUAUUGAACAAGGACAGAAAUUUACCUUAGUGAUCUGAUGGUAUCGAGUUGAAGGGCCGUCGCUCAAUGGAUAAAAAGUUACUCUAAGGAUAAUAGUCUGAUCUUCCCCAAGAGCUCACAUCGACGGGAAGGUUUGGCACCUCAAUGUUGGCUCUUCGCCACCUAGGGCUGUAGUAUGUUCCAAGGGUUGGGUUAUUCGCCCAUUAAAGCGGUACGUGAGUUGGGUUUAGAAUGUCAUGAGUGUUGAAAUUAGAGAUGAAUCAUGAUGAAAUUAGAGAUGAAUACUCAAAGGUAUUGAAGAAAAACUCUCUCAAAAAUAUAAAUUUCUUAGAAAUAUGUCCAACAAUAUAUACAUGUAGCAUUGAAUCAAAUAAGGAAAUAAUAUCUCUUAAUUAUAACCCCUAAAAAUCAGCUAUAAUCUCUAAAGAUACUAUUUAAUGCUAUUAAAGAUUCUCAACAUUCCCCC
rnacentral:rRNA from 1 species